rnacentral:rRNA from 1 species
UGAGCAAUCUGCCCUUCACAUCGGAAUAACCAUUGGAAACGAUGGCUAAUACCGAAUAUGACUUCGGAUCGCAUGAUCUGAAGUGGAAAGCUCCGGCGGUGAAGGAUGAGCUCGCGGCCUAUCAGCUUGUUGGUGAGGUAACGGCUCACCAAGGCGACGACGGGUAGCUGGUCUGAGAGGAUGGCCAGCCACAUUGGGACUGAGACACCGGCAGA